UACGUAGGGUGCAAGCGUUGUCCGGAAUUAUUGGGCGUAAAGAGCUCGUAGGCGGUUUGUCGCGUCUGCUGUGAAAAUCCGAGGCUCAACCUCGGACCUGCAGUGGGUACGGGCAAACUAGAGUGCGGUAGGGGAGAUUGGAAUUCCUGGUGUAGCGGUGGAAUGCGCAGAUAUCAGGAGGAACACCAAUGGCGAAGGCAGAUCUCUGGGCCGUAACUGACGCUGAGGAGCGAAAGCGUGGGGAGCGAACAGG
rnacentral:rRNA from 2 species